GCGACCCAAUGAAUGUGGAGAGUAAUGGGACGCAACGAAGGGGCCGGCGAAGGGGCCUCAGUUUUCCCAGAUGACAGGCUGACAGACUAGAGCUGGAGGGACCUCAGGUCACUUAGCCCAAUCCCCUUUUUUCACAGCAGUCCAGAGGCUAAAGGGCCCCCAAAAAGGUGGCCGUCCAGUCACUCAGACGCUCCACGAGCCCGUUGCCAAUAUCAGCUUCCCCGUCCUGGAGUUUCCUCGGCCCAGAAACUGGGGCCUGUCAGCCAGCGAGUAUUUGAGGUCAAAUCUGACCCAGGGCUCCUCGGCUCCGGGCCGACCGGAUACAAACUAAGCGGCAAAUGCAAGCACCGAACGCUGGUCUUCGGUCAGCAAAUGAAUGCUCCUUCCGCUGCCUGAAGCCGGGCUCCCACAGCAUCCCAAAGCGCAUCUCCCGCCUCUACUUCUCUUGGGGCCGAGAGAGACGAGCUCUGCCGCUUUAAAGGGAGACACUAAUCUCGCUCGCUCCCAAGAGUCCCCCACCACGACUGAUCCCAUAAGAGACAGCGCUCUGAGCCAAGCCCGACGCCGAGCCGCGCUUUGCCUCCUUUCCAUGAGUCCCCAGGCUCUCCUCUUGUCUGUUGCUGAAAAACACAGUAAACAGAGGAAUUGUGGUGUGUGGGUCUGCAAGAGACUUCUCUGAGGAAAAUAGGCGUGUCCACCGCCUUUCCCAAAUCAGAUGCCAGGUGGGAGACUGUUCUAGGACAGUAAACCAGCCCGAGCCACGAGAGUGUUAGCAGGAUGGUGAAGGAAUCUGAGAAGCGUUUGAGGAGGCCCUGGAGAUGUUAAGCUAAACCCUUACGAAGUUGGGUUAUUGUAAAUUGCCAUGACUUUCUGCCAUACAACAGCAUUUCAAAUAAAUAACAUAACAUUAAA